CGCUAUACGGGGAGUACGCACGCAAGUGUGAAACGGACUCAAAGGAAUUGACGGGGGCCCGCACAAGCCGGUGGAGUAUGUGGUUAAUUCGAUGCAACGCGAAGAACCUUACCAGGGCUUGUGCAUGAUCCUGCGAAUCCCUUGGAAACGAGGGAGUGCCUUCGGAGCGCAGAGACAGGUGGUGCAUUUGACGUUGUCGUCAGC
rnacentral:rRNA from 1 species